UCAGCCCUCAGUAACUAGCUCAAACUAGCUUGAAGAACUUCCAACAAGCUCCAAGAAGGAGGGAAGGAUUGCUCCAUGCUACUUUUCGAUCAGCAUGAGAGAGAUUUUUGCUCUAUGCCAGGCCUGACGGCCAGACCUGCUUGGUAUAGUUUAAGGAAUAUGUUUAGCAAAUAACUGUUUGACUGUAUAUGGAUGUGAGAAGGGGAGGCUGCCGAGUGCUUCACCACGAAACUGCCCACCCAGAGAUCUCAACUAACACGAAACACUAGUUGGAGGUGGUGUAGUACUUUCCAAAGUGGGCAGAUUCUCCAAGGUGAUAACAGCAGUCUAGAAAAUCAUGUUGAAAAUGGAGUUGAAGCUGAAGAGCCUAACGAG